rnacentral:rRNA from 1 species
CCGGUUAUUUAUUUAAUCGGUUAUUAAGCAUCGAGUGUUAAAUAUGCUAGUCCUUUCAUGAUUAUGUGAUAGGUGGUGCAUGGCCGUUCUUAGUUCGUGGAGUGAUCUGUCUGCUUAAUUGCGUUUCACUAAGGGCCCAUAAAUUCAAGGUAUGUUAGCUAUCGUCGCUCUAUGGACCCCUUAUUCAAUUUCGCUUUAAUUAGCGUUAUUUGUUUAAGCGCGCGUCUUUAUUUAAUGAGUUUAAGACACUGCGCAUG